rnacentral:piRNA from 1 species
UGCUAAUAAAAGCCAUGCACCAAC